GAAGAGAACCAAUUCUUGGACCAUUUACUCUGCUGUGCGGAAGGAGGGCAGACUGACAUACUAAUGAUGAGUAGAAACUUUCCUGCUUGUUCAGCAGUCGCCCACCCAGGACUUCAAAAUCUACCAAAGAUGAGGUUCCAUCAGCAGCACAAAAAAUGGCCUUCAUGGACACCGUAGCUAUGCUGGCAAACUGGGCCUCUAUGGAGGAUUGUGGAGGUGAAGAAGAAACCUGCUGUUGGAUAGGUGAGUUGGGUCAGGCUGAAAGUCUCUGAGGUGUUUUGACCGAUGAUGAAGCAGCUGAAUCCCAGUGAUGCUGACCAGAGCUUCUAUAGAUGGGUCCCUGGUUGAUGUUUCAUACCCAGCUGAUGGAAACUUUUGAAGAAACAAACUUCCAGGUACGAAGUGUGAGGAGGGCUUCCUGUCCGGUCUCCAGUGGAAAUAUCGCAGCUUAUUUCCAGGUGGACGAGAAGCUGCUGCCGAUUGCUGGUGAUGGAGUUUAUUUAGUUGAAGUUGUUGUUUUCAUAUACUGUGUUCAUGAAGAAAUAAAAUCCCCCAGAUGGGAAGUGAAACUGGA